UCCACAGUAGCUCAGUGGUAGAGCUAUCGGCUGUUAACCGAUCGGUCGUAGGUUCGAGUCCUACCUGGAGGG
rnacentral:tRNA from 1 species